AAAUUUCCAAAAAAGCACCAGCUGCAAUCAAGAAUAGUACAUUACCUAUCCACUUUUUAAAAAGGACAUUACAUAUCCACUUAAUCCACAAGACACUCCUACAGAAAUCAAGUCAUUUUUUCCUCUACUAAUGUAUACAGGAAGCAACAUUUUUUCAGGUUCAGUCAUGACUACCUCUUUGCGAGGCAGGUAAGCCAGGAACCCGUCGGCUGCUCUGCUCCCACUGCUGGGGAGUGGUGAGGUGGAACACCGAAUGAGGAGGGUAGCGAAGGAACCACUGUGAAUUUUUAACAUCAUAAGAUAUUUAUGUACUGCAAAUAUUCUGAAAUUUGUACACCAGCCAGUAUGCACUCUCUAGCAAGCAGCCAAAUAUUCUGAAAUAUGUACAGCAGCCAGUAUGUACAACAACCAGUCUUCAGGGAUAGCUAGCACCCAAUGAACUAUUUUAUGAAAAAAAAUCAGUGAAUAUGAUACCGCAAUUGUUGCCUCUAAAACAAAAUCACUAAGUUGUAGUUUACAAAUUAUGAUGCUAUACAUGUUACCAAUUAUCUAGCUUCCUACAGCACUAACUUCUUACCAGUUGACAUCGAAGCGCCUAGCUGAGUUUUGACACACCCUCGUCGAAGGACCUCUUUGAACUCUAACUGUACCAACAACUGCCUUCUCAGUUAAAACAUGGUGCGCCCAAACUGCAGUGCAAAGGAAAAAUUCAAUCACUUUGCCAAAAGGUCGGAAUAACUCUGGCAAAAAUGAUUCCAGUUGUAAAACGUGAAUGCUGCUGAACUAACUUGUUUAUUUGUAACCAAUCUCACUUGUUUUAAUACCAGAAAAGUUUAUGCAUCUAAUAUAAAAAAUACACAACAUAUGCACAACCAUACAUUAUCCACUCUAAAUGAAGCUUAAUUCCAGAAAAGGAUUAUCUUCAUCAUUAGCUUUAGAAAGGGGAUAAAAAUCUUACAUGUAAAGCAACAUCCUAUGACAGAGUACACGCCAAUGAAUUAUGUAUUAUUUAAAAUUC
rnacentral:lncRNA from 1 species